UACGUAGGGGGCAAGCGUUAUCCGGAUUUACUGGGUGUAAAGGGAGCGUAGACGGCAUGGCAAGUCUGAAGUGAAAGCCCGGGGCUCAACCCCGGGACUGCUUUGGAAACUGUCAAGCUAGAGUGCAGGAGAGGUAAGUGGAAUUCCUAGUGUAGCGGUGAAAUGCGUAGAUAUUAGGAGGAACACCAGUGGCGAAGGCGGCUUACUGGACUGUAACUGACGUUGAGGCUCGAAAGCGUGGGGAGCAAACAGG
rnacentral:rRNA from 1 species